rnacentral:rRNA from 1 species
GACGAACGCUGGCGGCGUGCUUAACACAUGCAAGUCGAACGGUGAAGCGCCUUCCUUUUUGGUGGGUGUGGAUGAGUGGCGAACGGGUGAGUAACACGUGAGUAACCUGCCCCCUUCUUCUGGAUAACCGCAUGAAAGUGUGGCUAAUACGGGAUAUUCUGGGUCUGUCGCAUGAUGGGUCUGGGAAAGAUAUUGUUUCGGUGGGGGAUGGGCUCGCGGCCUAUCAGCUUGUUGGUGGGGUGAUGGCCUACCAAGGCGGUGACGGGUAGCCGGCCUGAGAGGGUGGACGGUCACACUGGGACUGAGACACGGCCCAGACUCCUACGGGAGGCAGCAGUGGGGAAUAUUGCACAAUGGGCGCAAGCCUGAUGCAGCGACGCCGCGUGAGGGAUGGAGGCCUUCGGGUUGUGAACCACUUUCGCCAGUGAAGCAGGCCUGCCUCGUUUGUGGGUGGGUUGACGGUAGCUGGAUAAGAAGCGCCGGCUAACUACGUG